rnacentral:lncRNA from 1 species
UUUUUUUUUUUUUUUUAACAGCUGUACCCAUGGCUUAUAGAAGUUCCUGGCGAGGGGUCAAACUGGAGCUACAGCUGAGGCCUAUACCACAGCCACGGAAACACCAUAUCUGAGCAGCAUCUGUGAUCUACACCGUAGCUUGAGGCAAUGCCCAGAUCCCUAACCCACUGAGCGAGGCCAGGGAUGGAACACACAUCCUCACAUAGACAUUGGGUCCUUAUUUAACCCACUGAGCCAAAAGGGGAAACCCUAAAUGUAUUUUAUUUUAUUUUAUUUAUUUAUUUAUUUAUUUGUCUUUUUUUGCUAUUUCUUGGGCCGCUCCCUCAGCAUAUGGAGCAGCCCAAAGAAAUAGCAAAAAGACAAAAAAAGAAAAGUUCUGGGGAUGGAUGAUGGCAAUGGUUUCACAACAAAAUGAAUGUAGUUAAUGCCACAGAAAGAACUGUGGAUUUAUGUAUAUUUUACCAUAAAGGAAAGAAAGAGAAAGGAGGAUGGAUGGAUGAAUGCAGAGACCUACAAAGCUUAAUACAGUAUGGUAGACUGGACCAUUCCUGAUGAUUCUUCAUGCUGUCCUUGUAUUAAAAUUAUAUAGUCAUGCCCUUUUCCAUGUAACUUUAUAGUUUUUUGGUUUUUUUUUCUUCUGACAUGGAGUAUAUUUCCCUGCACCAUUAAUGUCAGAUUUGACCAUGCAAUCGGCUUUGGCCAAUGGAAUGUUCUCAGGAUUACAUGAGAACAAACAGAGGCUUCCAAUGUGCUUCUGCAGUAUGGACUGCCUUCUGACACUCUGGUGAUGCACCAUGAAAAGAAAACAUGAGAAGCUGCUAGCCAGAGAAAAAGAGGAAGUAAACCAAACAGAUUCAAAUCCAACCUCAAACUCUAGAGCCAAGACCAGCCAACACACAGCCUGACAUAAAUCCAUUGUGCCCCAACCUGUGAUUACACCAACCUCUGUUGUUGCAGGCUAUGGCGUGUGGGGGCAGUUUGUUACGCAGCAUGGUUAUAGCAAGAGCUACCUGAUACAAUGGUUUCAGUGGUCUUGGCUUUGCCACCAAGAGACUCUUCAAAGAGUAAUGCGCACUUGCCACAAGGUGCUUAAGAAGGAGCUCUUUUCUAGAAUUAAACAUCUAUCAGUUCUUUUAAAUAGAAUGCCCUGAACUAUAAACUUUUACAAAUUAUUUAGGAGGACUACUAUGCCUCAGAUCCUUGAAGAAGGUGAGUCUAAGGUAGAAUUGUGCUUCCUUCAUUCCUUAAGGGCCUGUGGCUUAAGGUCUUAACUGGUGUUAAACCUGAAGCAAACAACUCCUGGCACUUCUCAUGACACAUUAUCAUCCCAGGAGACCAUCUGAAUUUUAAAGGAUCCAAUUUGAAAUGCUUCCUGAAGCACUUCAAGCUUCACUCAGCAUUCUCCUUUGCAAAUUUCUCUUUUCAACAGUCCCUGGCAGUCACUCAGAGCUGGCAGUCAAGAGACUCUACUCUCUGAGACCGUUUACCCAGGGAGGAAGGAAAAUCUGCACAUAGUCAAACCCACGUUUUUGCACAAGUCAAAGAAAGCAAACCAUGGCCAAUCAGAGGGCACAUAGCAGCC